GACGAACGCUGGCGGCGUGCCUAAUACAUGCAAGUCGAGCGCAGGAAGUCGACGGAACCCUUCGGGGGGAAGUCGACGGAAUGAGCGGCGGACGGGUGAGUAACACGUAAAGAACCUGCCCUCAGGUCUGGGAUAACCACGAGAAAUCGGGGCUAAUACCGGAUGGGUCAUCGGACCGCAUGGUCCGAGGAUGAAGGGCGCUCCGGCGUCGCCUGGGGAUGGCUUUGCGGUGCAUUAGCUAGCUGGUGGGGUAAUGGCCCACCAAGGCGACGAUGCAUAGGCGACCUGGGAGGGUGAUCGGCCACACUGGGACUGAGACACGGCCCAGACUCCGACGGGAGGCAGCAGUAGGGAAUCUUCCACAAUGGACGAAAGUCUGAUGGAGCAACGCCGCGUGAACGAUGAAGGCCUUCGGGUCGUAAAGUUCUGUUGUAAGGGAAGAACAAGUGCCGCAGGCAAUGGCGGCACCUUGACGGUACCUUGCGAGAAAGCCACGGCUAACUACGUGCCAGCCGCCGCUGUAAAAC
rnacentral:rRNA from 1 species